UACGUAGGUGACCAGCGUUGUCCGGAUUUACUGGGCGUAAAGAGCGCGCAGGCGGUCGUUCAAGUCGAGUGUGAAAGCCCCCGGCUCAACUGGGGAGGGUCACUCGAUACUGAUCGACUUGAAGGCAGGAGAGGGAAGCGGAAUUCCCGGUGUAGUGGUGAAAUGCGUAGAUAUCGGGAGGAACACCAGUGGCGAAGGCGGCUUACUGGUCCGGAACUGACGCUGAGGUGCGAAAGCGUGGGGAGCAAACAGG
rnacentral:rRNA from 1 species